CUGAGUACGGCGGAACACGUGAAAUUCCGUCGGAAUCCGGGAGGACCAUCUCCCAAGGCUAAAUACUCCCUAGUGACCGAUAGUGAACCAGUACCGUGAGGGAAAGGUGAAAAGCACCCCGGAAGGGGAGUGAAACAGUUCCUGAAACCGUGUGCCUACAAGUAGUUAGAGCCCGUUAAUGGGUGAUAGCGUGCCUUUUGUAGAAUGAACCGGCGAGUUACGAUUUGUUGCAAGGUUAAGCGGAAAAAGCGGAGCCGUAGCGAAAGCGAGUCUGAAUAGGGCGCAUAAGUAACAGGUCGUAGACCCGAAACCAGGUGAUCUACCCAUGUCCAGGAUGAAGGUAAGGUAAUACUUACUGGAGGUCCGAACCCACGCACGUUGAAAAGUGCGGGGAUGAGGUGUGGGUAGCGGAGAAAUUCCAAUCGAACUUGGAGAUAGCUGGUUCUCUCCGAAAUAGCUUUAGGGCUAGCCUCGAGGUAAAGAGUCAUGGAGGUAGAGCACUGUUUGGACUAGGGGCCCUUCUCGGGUUACCGAAUUCAGAUAAACUCCGAAUGCCAUGUACUUAUACUCGGGAGUCAGACUGCGAGUGAUAAGAUCCGUAGUCGAAAGGGAAACAGCC
rnacentral:rRNA from 2 species